GACGUAGGGCGCGAGCGUUGUCCGGAUUUAUUGGGCGUAAAGAGCUCGUAGGCGGUUUGUCGCGUCGGCUGUGAAAACUCGGGGCUCAACCCCGAGCCUGCAGUCGAUACGGGCAGACUAGAGUGCUGUAGGGGAGACUGGAAUUCCUGGUGUAGCGGUGAAAUGCGCAGAUAUCAGGAGGAACACCGGUGGCGAAGGCGGGUCUCUGGGCAGUAACUGACGCUGAGGAGCGAAAGCGUGGGGAGCAAACAGG
rnacentral:rRNA from 1 species